UACGGAGGGAGCUAGCGUUGUUCGGAAUUACUGGGCGUAAAGCGCACGUAGGCGGCUUUGUAAGUUAGAGGUGAAAGCCUGGAGCUCAACUCCAGAAUUGCCUUUGAUACUGCAUGGCUUGAAUCCAGGAGAGGUGAGUGGAAUUCCGAGUGUAGAGGUGAAAUUCGUAGAUAUUCGCAAGAACACCAGUGGCGAAGGCGGCUCACUGGCCCGAUACUGACGCUGAGGCACGAAAGCGUGGGGAGCAAACAGG
rnacentral:rRNA from 1 species